AUCUGGAGAGUUUGAUCCUGGCUCAGAACGAACGCUGGCGGCGUGCCUAACACAUGCAAGUCCAACGUGAAAGGGGAGCAAUCCCCCGGUAGGGUGGCAAACGGGUGAGUAAUACAUGGGUGAUCUACCUUAGGGAUGGGGAUAUCCUUCCGAAAGGAGGGGCAAUACCGAAUAUUGUCCGGAGCCAUGAAGGGUUCCGGGGAAAGGGAGGCCUCUGAUACAAGCUUUCGCCUUAAGAUGAGCCCAUGGCCCAUCAGCUAGUUGGUAGGGUAAAGGCCUACCAAGGCUACGACGGGUCGCUGGUCUGAGAGGACGACCAGCCACACUGGCACUGAGAUACGGGCCAGACUCCUACGGGAGGCAGCAGUGAGGAAUAUUGCGCAAUGGGGGAAACCCUGACGCAG
rnacentral:rRNA from 1 species